rnacentral:rRNA from 1 species
ACUAUGUGUUGUUGGGUAGGGGAGCGUUCUGUAAGCCUGUGAAGGUGGCCUGUGAGGGUUGCUGGAGGUAUCAGAAGUGCGAAUGCUGACAUAAGUAACGAUAAAGCGGGUGAAAAGCCCGCUCGCCGGAAGACCAAGGGUUCCUGUCCAACGUUAAUCGGGGCAGGGUGAGUCGACCCCUAAGGCGAGGCCGAAAGGCGUAGUCGAUGGGAAACGGGUUAAUAUUCCCGUACUUGGUGUUACUGCGAAGGGGGGACGGAGAAGGCUAUGUUGGCCGGGCGACGGUUGUCCCGGUUUAAGCGUGUAGGCUGGUUUUCCAGGCAAAUCCGGAAAAUCAAGGCUGAGGCGUGAUGACGAGGCACUACGGUGCUGAAGCAACAAAUGCCCUGCUUCCAGGAAAAGCCUCUAAGCAUCAGGUAACACGAAAUCGUACCCCAAACCGACACAGGUGGUCAGGUAGAGAAUACCAAGGCGCUUGAGAGAACUCGGGUGAAGGAACUAGGCAAAAUGGUGCCGUAACUUCGGGAGAAGGCACGCUGACAUGUAGGUGAAGUGAUUUACUCAUGGAGCUGAAGUCAGUCGAAGAUACCAGCUGGCUGCAACUGUUUAUUAAAAACACAGCACUGUGCAAACACGAAAGUGGACGUAUACGGUGUGACGCCUGCCCGGUGCCGGAAGGUUAAUUGAUGGGGUCAGCGCAAGCGAAGCUCCUGAUCGAAGCCCCGGUAAACGGCGGCCGUAACUAUAACGGUCCUAAGGUAGCGAAAUUCCUUGUCGGGUAAGUUCCGACCUGCACGAAUGGCGUAAUGAUGGCCAGGCUGUCUCCACCCGAGACUCAGUGAAAUUGAACUCGCUGUGAAGAUGCAGUGUACCCGCGGCAAGACGGAAAGACCCCGUGAACCUUUACUAUAGCUUGACACUGAACAUUGAGCCUUGAUGUGUAGGAUAGGUGGGAGGCUUUGAAGUGUGGACGCCAGUCUGCAUGGAGCCGACCUUGAAAUACCACCCUUUAAUGUUUGAUGUUCUAACGUGGACCCGUAAUCCGGGUUGCGGACAGUGUCUGGUGGGUAGUUUGACUGGGGCGGUCUCCUCCUAAAGAGUAACGGAGGAGCACGAAGGUUGGCUAAUCCUGGUCGGACAUCAGGAGGUUAGUGCAAUGGCAUAAGCCAGCUUGACUGCGAGCGUGACGGCGCGAGCAGGUGCGAAAGCAGGUCAUAGUGAUCCGGUGGUUCUGAAUGGAAGGGCCAUCGCUCAACGGAUAAAAGGUACUCCGGGGAUAACAGGCUGAUACCGCCCAAGAGUUCAUAUCGACGGCGGUGUUUGGCACCUCGAUGUCGGCUCAUCACAUCCUGGGGCUGAAGUAGGUCCCAAGGGUAUGGCUGUUCGCCAUUUAAAGUGGUACGCGAGCUGGGUUUAGAACGUCGUGAGACAGUUCGGUCCCUAUCUGCCGUGGGCGCUGGAGAACUGAGGGGGGCUGCUCCUAGUACGAGAGGACCGGAGUGGACGCAUCACUGGUGUUCGGGUUGUCAUGCCAAUGGCACUGCCCGGUAGCUAAAUGCGGAAGAGAUAAGUGCUGAAAGCAUCUAAGCACGAAACUUGCCCCGA